rnacentral:rRNA from 1 species
UACGGAGGGUGCAAACGUUGCUCGGAAUCAUUGGGCGUAAAGCGCACGUAGGCGGCCUAUCAAGUCGGGUGUGAAAGCCCCGGGCUCAACCCGGGAAGUGCAUUCGAAACUGACAGGCUUGAAUAUGGAAGAGGAUCGCGGAAUUCCCGGUGUAGAGGUGAAAUUCGUAGAUAUCGGGAGGAACACCAGUGGCGAAGGCGGCGAUCUGGGCCAAUAUUGACGCUGAGGUGCGAAAGCGUGGGGAGCAAACAGG